GUGCUCAUUUAGGCAGCAUAUAUACUAAAAUUAGAGUGACACAGUGAAGAUUAGCAUGGCCCCUGUGCAAGGAUGACACGCAAAUUUAUGAAGCAUUCCCUAUUUAA
rnacentral:snRNA from 1 species